CUACGGGCCGCAGCAGCCGCGAAACCUUUACAAUGCACGAAAGUGUGAUAAGGGAAUCCGAAGUGCUUACCUUCUGGGUAGGCUUUUGUUAAGUGUAAAUAGCUUAAUGAAUAAGUGGUGGGUAAUACCGGUGCCAGCAGCCGCGGUAACACCGGAGCCACAAGUGGUGCUCAUUUUUAUUGGGCCUAAAGCGUCCGUAGCCGACUCAAUAAAUCUCUUGUGAAAGUGUUAAACUUAAUUUAGCAAAUUGCCAGAGAAACUGUUUAGUUUGGGACCGGGAAGAGACAAAAGUAUUCCUUGGGAAGCGGUAAAAUGUUUUAAUCCAGGGAAGACCACCAAUGGCGAAGGCAUUUGUCUAGAACGGGUCUGACGGUGAGGGACGAAAGCUAGGAGAACGAUCGGGAUUAGAUACCCUAGUAGUC
rnacentral:rRNA from 1 species